rnacentral:rRNA from 1 species
UACGGGGGGGGGCAAGCGUUGUUCGGAAUUACUGGGCGUAAAGGGCCAGUAGGCGGCCAACUAAGUCGGAUGUGAAAUCCCCAGGCUUAACCUGGGAACUGCAUCCGAUACUGGAUGGCUUGAAUUCGGGAGAGGGAUGCAGAAUUCCAGGUGUAGCGGUGAAAUGCGUAGAUACCAGGAGGAACACCGAUGGCGAAGGCAGGUUCUUGGACAGAAGGUGACGCUGAGGCGCGAAAGUGUGGGGAGCAAACCGG